GACGAACGCUGGCGGCGUGCUUAACACAUGCAAGUCGAACGGAAAGGCCCUGCUUUUGUGGCUUGCUCGAUUGGCGAACGGGUGAGUAACACGUGAGUAACCUGCCCUUGUCUUUCUGAUAACUUCUGGAAACUGGGGCUAAUACCGCAUAGGAUCUCCUGCUCCAUGUUGUUGGUUGGAAAGUUUCGGCGUUUGGGGCUGGACUCGCUGCUUAUCAGCUUGUUUGUGGGGUAGUUGCUUACCAAGGCUUUGACGGGUAGCCGGCCUGAGAGCGUGACCGGGCACAUGGGGACUACGAGACGGAGCAGUAGCCUACGGGAGGCAGCAGUGGGGAAUAUUGCAGAACGGGGGGAAGUCUGAUGUAGCAGUGUCGCGUGCGGGAUGCCGGCCUAUGGGUUGUAAACCGAUUUCGAAUGUGACGAAGAGUGCGUGACGGUAAUGGGUCAAGAAGCACCGGCUAACUACGUG
rnacentral:rRNA from 1 species